UACGAAGGGGGCUAGCGUUGUUCGGAAUUACUGGGCGUAAAGCGCACGCAGGCGGCUCGAUAAAUUAGAAGUGAAAGCCCCGGGCUCAACCUGGGAAUUGCAUUCGAGACUGCGUAGCUAGGGUGCGGAAGAGGGAAGCGGAAUUUCCGGUGUAGCGGUGAAAUGCGUAGAUAUCGGAAGGAACACCAGUGGCGAAAGCGGCUUCCUGGUCCAGCACCGACGUUCAGGCACGAAAGCGUGGGGAGCAAACAGG
rnacentral:rRNA from 1 species